rnacentral:lncRNA from 1 species
UGGGCACCGGAUCUUCUCAGGACUGGUGGGUGUGCCUCAGGGGCCUGAUGGCCUGAUGGACGGAGGGCAAGAACCCUUCCACCAUCCGCUCCGUCCCCAGCCUGGGGCACCACGGCGCGUCCUUCCCCCGGGUGCGCAGCGUGUCCUGCCUCCCCCUUAAAGGACAAGGAGAGAGCAGACCCAGGAGCCCCAGUGGCAGAAGGGGCCCGGCAGGGAGUGCUGGGCAGGGAGCGCCCAUGUGCCCACCCGAGUGCCAGUGCCAGCCAGCUGCUGCCCGGAGAGCCCCGGCCCUCUGUAGCUAUCUGGCCUCUGCUCAUGGCUGUUGCUCAGAGAGAAUCUGACCAGCACUGACUUCACCUCCGCCCACCCCCUGAGG